ensembl:rRNA 5S_rRNA 5S ribosomal RNA
GCUUACGGCCACACCGCCUGCUUCACGCCCGAUCUCGUUUGAUCUCGGAAUCUUUGAUAGGGUGGGCCUGGUUAGUACUUGGAUGGGAGACCGCCUGGGAAUACCAGGUGCUGUAAGCU